rnacentral:rRNA from 1 species
AGUGAACGCUGGCGGUAGGCCUAACACAUGCAAGUCGAACGGCAGCACAGUAAGAGCUUGCUCUUACGGGUGGCGAGUGGCGGACGGGCGAGGAAUACAUCGGAAUCUACUUUUUCGUGGGGGAUAACGUAGGGAAACUUACGCUAAUACCGCAUACGACCUACGGGUGAAAGCAGGGGAUCUUCGGACCUUGCGCGAUUGAAUGAGCCGAUGUCGGAUUAGCUAGUUGGCGGGGUAAAGGCCCACCAAGGCGACGAUCCGUAGCUGGUCUGAGAGGAUGAUCAGCCACACUGGAACUGAGACACGGUCCAGACUCCUACGGGAGGCAGCAGUGGGGAAUAUUGGACAAUGGGCGCAAGCCUGAUCCAGCCAUACCGCGUGGGUGAAGAAGGCCUUCGGGUUGUAAAGCCCUUUUGUUGGGAAAGAAAAGCAGCAGGUUAAUACCCCGCUGUUCUGACGGGACCCAAAGAAUAAGCACCGGCUAACUUCGU